rnacentral:pre_miRNA from 1 species
AUCUGUCUGUCUUCUGUAUAUACCCUGUAGAUCCGAAUUUGUGUAAGGAAUUUUGUGGUCACAAAUUCGUAUCUAGGGGAAUAUGUAGUUGACAUAAACACUCCGCUCU